rnacentral:misc_RNA from 1 species
GAUGAAGAACGUAGCGAAAUGCGAUAAGUAAUGCGAAUUGCAGAAUUCCAGUGAGUCAUCGAAUCUUUGAACGCACAUUGCGCCCUUUGGUAUUCCGAAGGGCAUGCCUGUUCGAGCGUCAUUAUCACCCCUCAAGCCCCCGGGCUUGGUGUUGGACGGCUUGGUGGGGACCUUCGGGUCGUCCACCCCUCCUAAAGACAAUGACGGCGGCCUCGUUGGACCCCCGGUACACUGAGUUCUUUAUUGAGCACGUACUGGAUCAAGGGCCCGCGGGACACGGUCUUAACCCCCCUUUAUUUCUAAGGUUGACCUCGGAUCAGGUAGGGAUACCCGCUGAACUUAAGCAUAUCAAUAAGCGGAGGA